rnacentral:rRNA from 1 species
UAUUGUAGAAAUUCCAUAGUGAAGCGUGCUUGGGUGAGAGUAGUACUAGGAUGGGUGACCUCUUGGGAAGUUAGUAUUUUAUAAGGC